rnacentral:tRNA from 1 species
GACGAGGUGGCCGAGUGGUAAAUGUGAUGGAUUGCUAAUCCAUUGUGCUAUGCACGCAUGAGUUUGAAUCCCAUCUUCGUCA